GCAUAUCAAUAAGCGGAGGAAAAGAAACCAACAGGGAUUGCCUCAGUAACAGCGAGUGAAGCGGCAAAAGCUCAAAUUUGAAAUCCUUCGGGAGUUGUAAUUUGUAGGUUGGGAGACCCCGCGGCUAGUGGCACCAAGUCCCUUGGAACAGGGCGCCUUAGAGGGUGAGAGCCCCGUAGGUACCACAAUACCGUCUUGUGUCUCCUCUCCGAAGAGUCGAGUUGUUUGGGAAUGCAGCUCUAAGUGGGUGGUAAAUUCCAUCUAAAGCUAAAUAUUGGCGAGAGACCGAUAGCGAACAAGUACAGUGAUGGAAAGAUGAAAAGAACUUUGAAAAGAGAGUGAAAAAGUACGUGAAAUUGUUGAAAGGGAAAGGCAUUAGAUCAGACUUGGUGUUUUACGAUUAUCUUCUCUUCUUGAGUUGUGCACUCGUAUUUCACCGGGCCAGCAUCGAUUCGGAUGGCAAGAUAAUGGCAGUUGAAUGUGGCUUCACUUCGGUGGAGUGUUAUAGCUUCUGCUGAUAUUGCCUGUCUGGAUCGAGGGCUGCGUCUUUUGACUAGGAUGCUGGCGUAAUGAUCUAAUGCCGCCCGUCUUGAAACACGGACC
rnacentral:rRNA from 1 species